rnacentral:rRNA from 1 species
CCUACGGGAGGCAGCAGUGGGGAAUAUUGGGCAAUGGGCGCAAGCCUGACCCAGCAACGCCGCGUGAAGGAAGAAGGCUUUCGGGUUGUAAACUUCUUUUGUCAGGGAAGAGGAGAAGACGGUACCUGACGAAUAAGCCAUGGCUAACUACGGACCAGCAGCCGCGGUAAUACGGAGGUGGCAAGCGUUGUCCGGAUUUACUGGGUGUAAAGGGCGGGUAGCCGGGUUGACAAGUCAGAUGUGAAAUCCUGCGGCUUAACCGCAGAACUGCAUUUGAAACUGUUGAUCUUGAGUACUGGAGAGGCAGCUGGACUUCCUAGUGUAGCGGUGCAAUGCUUAGAUAUUAGGAGGAACCCCAGUGGCGAAGGCGGUCUGCUGGACAGCAACUGACGGUGAGGCGCGAAAGCGUGGGGAGCAAACAGGAUUAGAUACCCCUGUAGUC